AUUGAACGCUGGCGGCAUGCCUUACACAUGCAAGUCGAACGGCAGCAUGAUCUAGCUUGCUUGAUUGAUGGCGAGUGGCGAACGGGUGAGUAAUACAUCGGAACGUGCCCUGUAGUGGGGGAUAACUAGUCGAAAGAUUAGCUAAUACCGCAUACGACCUGAGGGUGAAAGUGGGGGACCGCAAGGCCUCAUGCUAUAGUAGCGGCCGAUGUCUGAUUAGCUAGUUGGUGAGGUAAAGGCUCACCAAGGCGACGAUCAGUAGCUGGUCUGAGAGGACGAUCAGCCACACUGGGACUGAGACACGGCCCAGACUCCUACGGGAGGCAGCAGUGGGGAAUUUUGGACAAUGGGCGCAAGCCUGAUCCAGCCAUGCCGCGUGGGUGAAGAAGGCCUUCGGGUUGUAAAGCACUUUUGUCCGGAAAGAAAUGGCUCUGGUUAAUACCUGGGGUCGAUGACGGUACCGGAAGAAUAAGGACCGGCUAACUACGUG
rnacentral:rRNA from 1 species